rnacentral:lncRNA from 10 species
UUUUUGAUACACGAAUUGUUCUCAAGAUUGUCCUGAAAUGCCUUGUUUGUUGUCAUUCUAGUUAGACAAGUAAUCAGCCUUGAGCUGCACAGUAUUUUAACUAAGACAUUUGGUUUUUUUCCCUUUUCUUUCUUUCUUUUUUUCCCCUCUCGGGUGUUUAGAACUACAAGAGAUUUGUUUUUCUAAUUGCUUAGUUGCAGUUAGGUGGAACCUACAUAUUAUUUUUUUUUCUGCUGCAGAAUUUUUAUCAUGUGGAAUUAAGCAAGUACCUUGCCUUAGUCCAUUUUUUCUUGCUUAUAACAGAAUACCUGAAACUGGGUAAUUUAUUUUAAAAAAUGCUUUUAUUUCUUACAGUUCUGGAGGCUGAGGAGCCCCAGGUUGAGGGGCUUCAUCUGGUGAGAGCCUUCUUGCUGGUGGAGACUCUGAAGAGUCCCGAAGUGGUGUGGGGAAACAUAUGUGUGUUGUACAGAGCGAAUGGCCUCGGACCUUCAAUGGCUGUGCACUGCUUUCUCAGGACUUUCCCUCAAAGGGAAGAACUGACCCUUAUCUCUUUCCCUUUUCUCCACCAUUAGAGCUCAGAGAUCCCAAGAGGCAAAGCGGGGAAAGUUUUAGAAAUCAUUUCACUCUGGAAAGCUUUCAGAUCACAGAUUCCUGCUCAUAAGUGGAUAAAUGAUGCAGUAAAAUUGAACAAACACAGCUCGUCCUACAUUCUGAAGAUGGGGCACAUUUAUCAGAAGAGAAAAACUGCCAGAGAGAAUUCACAUCAGUGCAGACCGAGAGUCUCAGAUGGCUAAGAGAUGUGCCUGACAACUUUUCAGAAAUAAGACUAUUAAAAGAAGGUCAGCUUGGAGUCUUACUGCGAAGAAUUAUAAACAGGCACGUGGAUUAUAAAUAGGGAUCAUCUAAUUCUACAACAAGAUUGCUGUCUGAACACUUGAGAUAAAUCUUCAUUCACUCUCUGGAAUUGCUCAACACACAGGUUAAUUUCUCACUAUUGAUUUUCUCCAGUAUGCUUCUUGAAUGCUUCGAGAUCUCUUGACCUAUACAAAAUAUCUCUGUGACAGAAGGUUAAAAAAAUAGCUCUUCAAAUUUAUGACAAACCCACAGCCAAUAUCAUACUCAAUGGGCAAAAGCUGGAAGCAUUCCCUUUGAAAACUGGCACAAGACAAGGAUGUCCUCUCACCACUCCUAUUCAAAUUAUUAUUGGAAGUUCUGGCCAGGGCAAUCAGGCAAGAGAAAGAAAUAAAGGGUAUUCAAAUAGGAAGACAGGGAGUCAAAUUAUCUCUGUUUGCAGAUGACAUGAUUGUAUAUUCAGAAAACCCCAUUGUCUCAGCCCAAAAACUCCUUAAGCUGAUAAGCAACUUCAGCAAAGUCUCAGGAUACAAAAUCAAUGUGCAAAAAUCACAGGCAUUCCUAUACAUCACUAAUAGAGAGCCAAAUCAUGAGUGAACUCCCAUUCACAAUUACUACAAAGAGAAUAAAAUGCCUAGGAAUACAACUUACAAAGGGAUGUGAAGGACUUCAUGCUACCUGACUUCAAACUAUGCUACAAGGCUACAGUAAC